rnacentral:lncRNA from 1 species
GCGGCCAGGAGCGCCCGGCGCAGGUGGGCUCUCCCCGCCCCACACUGGUUUCUCUUCCGAGGUUGCUCCUUCGCCUCCAGCGCCCGAGCAAGGGCAGGCAGGGGACCGACUCCUCUUGUGAUGCGUUGGGGGGACUGUUCUGGGGUCUCUCGCCGAAGCCAGGACCGCGCCCACAAACGGCUUUCCAAAGUCGCAGUCCUGGAGGCCCCACCUUGGCUGAAGGCACAAGCUGCUGUCAUCCCCCAAAAGCCCUUGCAGAGAACGUGCUGGUUCCUUGGCCGCACUCUGUCCACUGAUGUCACAGGGGCCUUGGUAAUAGGAUCUGCUUGCCCUGAGGGGUGAAAGAGAAGAAUGCAGCUAGCCCAAAAGUACUGUCUCUUGAACUUGCCUUAAGGAGAAAUCCUCAUUGCCUUUGUACAUUACUUCAGUGGUAUACGCUGG